GAUAAACGCUGGCGGUACGUUUAAUACAUGCAAGUCGAACGAGAACCUUCGGGUUCUAGUGGCGAACGGGUGAGUAACACGUAGGUAACCUGCCUUUAAGACGAGGAUAACAGUUGGAAACGAUUGCUAAUACUGGAUAUAAAGUAAUGGGGGCAUCCCCAAAACUUAAAAGGUCCUAAGGGAUUACUUAAAGAGGGGCCUGCGGUGCAUUAGUUAGUUGGUAGGGUAAUGGCCUACCAAGACGAUGAUGCAUAGCCGGACUGAGAGGUUGAACGGCCACAUUGGGACUGAGAACGGCCCAAACUCCUACGGGAGGCAGCAGUAGAGAAUUUUCGGCAAUGGGGGGAACCCUGACCGAGCGAUACCGCGUGAAUGACGAAAUACUUAGGUAUGUAAAGUUUUUUUAUUUAGGAUGAAGAGCAUAUGGAGGGAAUGCCAUAUGAGUGACAGUACUAAAUGAAUAAGCCCC
rnacentral:rRNA from 1 species